GUUGGGAAUCUUGCACAAUGGGGGAAACCCUGAUGCAGCGACGCCGCGUGGAGGACGACGGAUCUAGGUCUGUAAACUCCUUUUGCCAGGAAAGACUUAGGACGGUACCUGGCGAAUAAGCCCCGGCUAACUACGUGCCAGCAGCCGCGGUAAGACGUAGGGGGCGAGCGUUGUCCGGAUUUACUGGGCGUAAAGGGCGCGUAGGCGGCUUGUUAAGUGUGGUGUGAAAUCUCCAGGGCUCAACCCGGAAACCGCACCGCAUACUGGCUAGCUUGAGGAACGCAGAGGUGACUGGAAUUCCCGGUGUAGCGGUGAAAUGCAUUGAUAUCGGGAGGAACUCCAAUGGCGAAGGCAGGUCACUGGGCGUCACCUGACGCUGAGGCGCGAAAGCGUGGGUAGCAAACAGGAUUAGAUACCCCAGUAGUCC
rnacentral:rRNA from 1 species